CACACAGACAAUCAAGGGAAUUGGGUUGAUCCGGUUGCUGAACAAAAUUACCGGAACAUACAACAGGCCACAGAUGAAUGGAGCGGCGAUGGUCCUCCAAUUGCCCCGUAUCAAGAAGCGUUGGGAGAGCGGCGAGGAUGGUACCGCGGGAUGGGGCCUAAACCUUCUUCCAACACGUCCUCGAACACGUCCUUGAACAUGUCGUCUUCGCAAGCUCGGACGCAAGAACCCUUUUCCGAGGAUUUUGUUAACAGCUUGUUCCAAACUCCGUCAUUUUUGAGCCAACUUAACAACUAUCUUGCUUCACAAGGAAAAGGAAAG